GACGUAGGGUGCGAGCGUUGUCCGGAAUUAUUGGGCGUAAAGAGCUUGUAGGCGGUCUGUCGCGUCUGCUGUGAAAAUCCGGGGCUCAACCCCGGACUUGCAGUGGGUACGGGCAGACUAGAGUGUGGUAGGGGAGACUGGAAUUCCUGGUGUAGCGGUGAAAUGCGCAGAUAUCAGGAGGAACACCGAUGGCGAAGGCAGGUCUCUGGGCCACUACUGACGCUGAGAAGCGAAAGCAUGGGGAGCGAACAGG
rnacentral:rRNA from 1 species